CCACCUUGUAAUUUCACUCACGAUGUCCCUGCAGUGAUCUUCUCCUCUGGCGGCUUCACAGGAAACCUAUUCCAUGAGAUAAAUGAGAUCACCAUCCCUCUCUUCCUGACGUGCCGCCAUUUUCGAUCCAACUUACAAUUUGUCAUCACUGACUAUAGGCCUUGGUGGGUUAGCAAAUACAACAGGAUUCUAUCACAUUUGUCUCGUUAUCAGGCCAUAAAUCCUGCAGCUGAUGGAAGUGUUCACUGCUUUCCAGGAGCUGUUAUCGGGCUUGUGUACCAUGAGAAUCUCGUAAUCAAUUCUACCGAGAUUCCAGGAGGGUACUCCAUGUUUGACUUCAAGCAUUUUCUCAGACAAUCGUAUAAUCUGAAGAUUAAGAACGCUUCUGAGAUAGAAAAGCCAGUGCUGAUACUUAUUUCCCGCCGCAAAUCAAGGAGGUUUCUGAAUGAAAAUGAAAUGGUGACAAUGAUGGAGCAGCUAGGAUUUCGAGUUAUUGUGACCACGCCUUACAGGAUGUCAAAUUUAAACAGAUUCGCAUCAGUGCUUAAUUCCUGCAGUGUCAUGGUAGGUGCCCAUGGAGCUGGGCUUACGAAUGAGGUAUUCCUACCCGAUGGGGCAGUAAUGGUGCAAGUGGUCCCCCUGGGGUUGGAAUGGGCAUCAGCAAACUACUAUGGUGAUCCGGCAAGCAAGAUGGGUGUAAAAUACUUGGAGUACAAGAUCGAGCCAGAGGAGAGCUCCCUCUUGGACAAAUAUGGUAGAGAUCACCCUGCAAUUGCUGAUCCCAAGUCAAUAUUCUCGCAGGGUUACUCUGCUGCCAGGGCUAUGUAUGUUGAUGGACAGAACCUGAAGAUCAAUGUGACAAGGUUCAGGAAGAUUAUUGUUGAAGCAAUAAAGCUUAUUAGGCAGUCUCCUUUGAAAUGAAGAUAGCUUGUCAGUUGGAACUACAGUAGAUAGAUACUAUAACUAGCAGUUAAAAUGCCAAAAACCAGCAAAUAAAUCUCUUUUCUCUACAUUUUCCCCCUAGAAAGCUGGGUAUCUUGUUGGUUGUACAAGUAAAUUUCAUUUUCAGUUUGCCAAAUUGGACACCAAAAAUCUUCUUAAGAAUGGUCAGCACUGAACCAUUACUAAUUGGAAGCUGCAUUGACACCACUAUUUUUUUUUUUUUUCAACUUUGCAGCUAGAACAUUCAACGUCAUAUAGUACAGCUUAGUGGAAGAAGAAUAUGGAAAGAAAAAUGAUACAUGAAACUAGCUUCUCCCUCACCGUGGCUGAUAGUUAGAAACCAAAAACUAGGUUAAGCACAAUGUUAACUUUUAUGGAAAAUAUCAGAAAUCCGGUCCUCGCAGUCAUGUUAUCAUAUAGGCCAAAACAAACUAAAAGACUGGGAAUGAUUGUACACCCUAAAAUAUCAAAGGCCAAUCCUGACUCCUGAGCAAACAAGAGAGCCAUUCAAAAAUCUCAAAACUACGCUUUGCACUGCUAUUGAAAGUUAAAUACAGCUCAAGGAAAAAGGUGUUCAUCCAGCCUACGCAUUUAACAGAAGCAGGUACAAAAAGCCUACCAUCCAUAACAGCUCAUAUUUUCAGGAUAACAGAAUCACAGGUAAUUUGAUUCCUGCAAAGCUUGUAUCAUUAAUGAAGCUGCAGAACCUUCUGCGUCUUUUAUUCUUGUUUUUUCAUCUCCCAUCAUGUAGAGCACACCAUCUACAGUUGCAAUCUGAACUGAGCAUAUAAAUUUCUUCUCAUGUGCAGGGCCCAUUUCUUUCUCAAUGUUGUAACUUGGUUUCUGCCAUUUUUUCUUGCCACAGAGUUCAUGUAACUUCUGUUUUGCUCCUUCAAUCUCAAAUGACCCAUUGAUGCUAUCCAGGAUAUCAGAAAGACUGCCAUUAGAAGGCAUCGAAUGUGAUAAUUUGUGCAGAGCUCCCUUGGCAGCAUUAAGCUUUGCAAUUUCUUUUUGCUCAGACGAACCAGUGGCAACAAACUCUCCAUCAACAUAUACACUAGCAAUAUUUUUUGUCCCAUUUUUCCAGUGUACGAUAUCAACUUCCUUCCCCUGCUUUUGGCACAGCUCAAACAACAUUGUCACUGGUUGCGGUUGUUGCUGCAAGUCUUGAAGCGUAACAAUGGGCUCUAAAAGUCCCCUAAAUAUCACCCAAAGCCUCUGAAGAUCAAAAUCGAGGUCAACAUAGACAGCAGCAGCCACAGACUCCACAAUAUCAGCAAGAAUUUUAGGUGCCUUCACAGAGCCACCAUAAGCAACUGCAUCAUCUUCCUGACUCACAGCAUCAGUAAACUCCCUAACCUUAUCAUCAAGAGAAGAAGCGUUAUGCCUCACAAAGCGAUAAAGUCCAUGCCUGAUCGCCACUCGCGCGAGCUUCUCCGUGCUGAUAUUGGCUGCACGCAGCAGAGAUAACUGGCCGGGAUCGAGCUGAGGAUAAGCUAGAAAAACAUGGUUACUCAAAGCCAGUCCUAAAGCGGCGUCACCGAUAAACUCGAGUCGCUGGUAAGAGGCCGAGUCCGCAUAAGAGGAGUGCGUUAAAGCUUCCUCGAGAAGGCGCUUGUUUUUGAAACUAUAAUUCAAGAUUCUUUCGACGGCGAGGACCGAAGCUUCCAUUUCGGUUGAGGGCGGCAAUGGUGGAGCUUCGGUGGUGGUGGUGGUGGUGGUGAUAG
rnacentral:misc_RNA from 1 species